CCCCUCUCCCUCCAGUUUUAGAUUACCAGGCGUAAAGAGAAAGAGACCCAACACCAACCCAACCCCACUGAAUGAACACAUAAUGAAAGGUUCCUUCAAGCCACAGAUGCAACAUAGCAGCGUGUGAAAACCGCAUUCCAAUGUCCAUAUAUGGAGUCAAGGUCGCAACCAAUUCAACUGAGCGAUCCCUCCCGAAGUGGUACAGCCCAAGUCAGCCUUGUGCGAUCGGUAAGAAAGACGUAACAGCUUAUAACAACAUUGAUCUCUCAUGCAGGCAAUAAGAUAGUGACACACUGUUACGGUGUCCAACAAACGUAAAAUCAGCAGCCUUUGGACUGCCAAACAUAAAAGGCAGAAGACAGGAUUCUUGGGGAAAACAAAGUUUUAUGGUUGACCAUGCUCGUGAGCCACCGGCCCUCAAGCUCAGAUCCACCAAUAGUGCAAGAAUACGAUGUUCCAGUGUUUGCUAAAGGCAAGGAGGAGGAGGAGGAGGAGACACCAGGGAUGUGGUGUUGUCGUCCCUCCUCCAAGCUUGGGGGGAGAUGGGCCUCCCCGGGUCCCCAAGCUUGACGGACAUCCGUUCAGCCGUGGCCACAUACAACUUCGACUCAGAGAUUGGCAGGUGGGACCAUCGCAAUACGACCGCGGCAGCGACUACCAGUGCAUCGCCGAGAACAGCGCCGGCUCCGCGCAGGCCAGCGCCCGCCUCACCGUGCUGUGGGCCGACGGGCUCCCCGGGGCCCCCACAAUGGUGCGGGCCUAGGCGUUGUCGCCCGGCGCCAUCCAGGUGUCCUGGAAGGAACCGGAGC
ensembl:lncRNA